CAUGUCGGUCUGGACGGAGCCUUGAUUCAGAGCCUUCUAGCCUUCCUUGGCUUGGCUACCCCAGACAGGGUCCCCGGCGGUGUGGCUAAACACAGGAGAAAGUCACAGACCCUCCCCUCUCUUCCUCCAAAAAGAAAGAAAAGGCAGGCAAAGUCCAAGGAAGGAAGGCAGAUGGCGAGAGUUUGCAGAGCAACGGGCAACUUCGAGGGAGGAAGCGCGAGAGAGGGCAGUUCGCUCACCUGGUCCACUCCUUGGGCACCCACGCCUAGGGAGGAGGAGGAGGCCAUGUUGCGAGGUUCUCUUCCACACAGGCACACCUCUGACUGAGAAGGAGGAAAGAGUGGUCUGGUAAAGGUCGGAGCCCCUUUAAGGCUACUCUUAGAGACUCUUAUUGCUAAGUUGCGCUAGCAGUGCUCCCACACCCUGCCUUGGUUACCGCAAGGCGCGCCGCGGUAUAGCAGGAAACCAACAGGUUAAAUCAGCGGCUACAGCCCCAAAGGCGGGGAAAGACCCGCCGCAAGUUUCCAGAGAAUUAGCUCCGCCCCGCUCCUGGAAAGCGAGGGGGCGUAGUCGCCUCGCUGCCUGCACGCUCGAAGGUGAAGGCUUCGCCUUAAGAAGGGAAGGUGUGUGUAAAGUCUGCUUGUGAGGGAGGGAACGAAGCCCGUCGAACUCCGUCGGUGGGAUGGAGUCUAACUUCGGAACUGCAUCCUGUUGCCCUGUUUCUUUUUUGCAAAGGCUCCAGCAAUAAGGGUUGCCAACUCAUGAAAUACAAAUUGCAGUCAGCUGUGGAGGGUGAAGUCCAAGGCAGGAGCCCAGCAAUAAUUGGACAGACUAUCUAGAAUGAGUUCAGAGGCAAAGCCCGAUCCCAAAGAUGUCGAGUCACCUACAGUGUCCAGUUUUGUUUUGUCUUUUAAAUAAAAAUCUGAGGCCUGUGUUUUAUUGGCAAGUGGUCUGAAAGCAAUAAAUAAUUACAUAAAUAUAAAA